GACGAACGCUGGCGGCGUGCUUAACACAUGCAAGUCGAACGGUAAGGCCCUUCGGGGUACACGAGUGGCGAACGGGUGAGUAACACGUGGGUGAUCUGCCCUGCACUUUGGGAUAAGCCUGGGAAACUGGGUCUAAUACCGAAUACACCCUGCUGGUCGCAUGGCCUGGUGGGGGAAAGCUUUUGCGGUGUGGGAUGGGCCCGCGGCCUAUCAGCUUGUUGGUGGGGUGAUGGCCUACCAAGGCGACGACGGGUAGCCGGCCUGAGAGGGUGUCCGGCCACACUGGGACUGAGAUACGGCCCAGACUCCUACGGGAGGCAGCAGUGGGGAAUAUUGCACAAUGGGCGCAAGCCUGAUGCAGCGACGCCGCGUGAGGGAUGACGGCCUUCGGGUUGUAAACCUCUUUCAAUAGGGACGAAGCGCAAGUGACGGUACCUAUAGAAGAAGCACCGGCCAACUACGUGCCAGCAGCCGCGGUAAUACGUAGGGUGCGAGCGUUGUCCGGAAUUACUGGGCGUAAAGAGCUCGUAGGUGGUUUGUCGCGUUGUUCGUGAAAACUCACAGCUUAACUGUGGGCGUGCGGGCGAUACGGGCAGACUGGAGUACUGCAGGGGAGACUGGAAUUCCUGGUGUAGCGGUGGAAUGCGCAGAUAUCAGGAGGAACACCGGUGGCGAAGGCGGGUCUCAGGGCAGUAACUGACGCUGAGGAGCGAAAGCGUGGGGAGCGAACAGGAUUAGAUACCCUGGUAGUCCACGCCGUAAACGGUGGGUACUAGGUGUGGGUUUCCUUCCUUGGGAUCCGUGCCGUAGCUAACGCAUUAAGUACCCCGCCUGGGGAGUACGGCCGCAAGGCUAAAACUCAAAGAAAUUGACGGGGGCCCGCACAAGCGGCGGAGCAUGUGGAUUAAUUCGAUGCAACGCGAAGAACCUUACCUGGGUUUGACAUGCACAGGACGCCGGCAGAGAUGUCGGUUCCCUUGUGGCCUGUGUGCAGGUGGUGCAUGGCUGUCGUCAGCUCGUGUCGUGAGAUGUUGGGUUAAGUCCCGCAACGAGCGCAACCCUUGUCUCAUGUUGCCAGCACGUUAUGGUGGGGACUCGUGAGAGACUGCCGGGGUCAACACGGAGGAAGGUGGGGAUGACGUCAAGUCAUCAUGCCCCUUAUGUCCAGGGCUUCACACAUGCUACAAUGGCCGGUACAAAGGGCUGCGAUGCCGUGAGGUGGAGCGAAUCCUUUCAAAGCCGGUCUCAGUUCGGAUCGGGGUCUGCAACUCGACCCCGUGAAGUCGGAGUCGCUAGUAAUCGCAGAUCAGCAACGCUGCGGUGAAUACGUUCCCGGGCCU
rnacentral:rRNA from 1 species